GAGUUUGAUCUUGGCUCAGGAUGAACGCUAGCUACAGGCUUAACACCUGCAAGUCGAGGGGCAUCAGGAAGAAAGCUUGCUUUCUUUGCUGGCGACCGGCGCACGGGUGAGUAACACGUAUCCAACCUGCCCUUUACUCGGGGAUAGCCUUUCGAAAGAAAGAUUAAUACCCGAUAGCAUAAUGAUUCCGCAUGGUUUCAUUAUUAAAGGAUUCCGGUAAAGGAUGGGCAUGCGUUCCAUUAGGCAGUUGGCGGGUAACGGCCCACCAAACCGACGAUGGAUAGGGGUUCUGAGAGGAACGGUCCCCCAAUUGGUACUGAGACACGGACCAAACUCCGUACGGGAGGCAGCAGUGAGGAAUAUUGGUCAAGUGGGCGCGAGCCUGAACCAGCCAAGUCGCGUGAGGGAUGAAGGUUCUA
rnacentral:rRNA from 1 species